GCAUCGAUGAAGAACGCAGCGAAAUGCGAUAAGUAAUGUGAAUUGCAGAAUUCAGUGAAUCAUCGAAUCUUUGAACGCACAUUGCGCCCGCCAGUAUUCUGGCGGGCAUGCCUGUCCGAGCGUCAUUU
rnacentral:rRNA from 2 species